CAUUAUGGAUGAUGAGAAAUUCAAAUUACAGUUAUCCCUGUCUGAUUCAUUGGUGAUGAUUCUUAUCAACUCUGACAUCUUU